GAUUCCCUAAACCCUAACCAUCUCUCUUCCUCUCGCUCUCCGUUCAACAACUCCUCCAAGAAUGGCUGAUCUCUCCAAGGUCUCUUGCUUCCUCCUCAUCGCCUGCCUCGUGGCGGCUUCGUCACCGGCGGCUCGCGCGGCCAUCACGUGCUCCCAGAUCUCCUCCAGCAUGGGCCCCUGCAUCGGCUACCUGAGGGGCUCUGGCCCCCUGUCCAGCGCCUGCUGCUCCGGCGUGAAGUCCCUCAACACCGCGGCCCGGACCACCGCGGACCGCCAGGCCGCGUGCCGGUGCCUGCAGUCGGCUGCCGGCAGUAUCCAGGGGAUCGACUUCAACCUCGCCGCCGGCCUCCCCGGAAAGUGCGGCGUCAGCGUGCCUUACAAGAUCAGCCCCACCACCGACUGCAAAUCGUAAGUUCUCCGCCAUUCUUCUUUUUCUCUUUCCCUCUCGCUGUUCCUCGAUCAUCUCUAGGUUACGAUGCAUUCUUGCGUGAACUGAGCUUCACACAGACUGCGUGCGAAACAAAAACUCCUCUC
rnacentral:lncRNA from 1 species